rnacentral:rRNA from 1 species
ACUCCUACGGGAGGCAGCAGUAGGGAAUCUUCCACAAUGGACGAAAGUCUGAUGGAGCAACGCCGCGUGAACGAUGAAGGCCUCGGUCGUAAAGUUCUGUUGUAAGGGAAGAACAAGUGCCGCAGGCAAUGGCGGCACCUUGACGGUACCUUGCGAGAAAGCCACGGCUAACUACGUGCCAGCAGCCGCGGUAAUACGUAGGUGGCAAGCGUUGUCCGGAAUUAUUGGGCGUAAAGCGCGCGCAGGCGGCCUCUUAAGUCUGAUGUGAAAGCCCCGGCUCAACCGGGGGAGGGCCAUUGGAAACUGGGAGGCUUGAGUAUAGGAGAGAAGAGUGGAAUUCCACGUGUAGCGGUGAAAUGCGUAGAGAUGUGGAGGAACACCAGUGGCGAAGGCGACUCUUUGGCCUAUAACUGACGCUGAGGCGCGAAAGCGUGGGGAGCAAACAGGAUUAGAUACCCUGGUAGGAUAGCG